CGGGCGGCCGCAUGAGGCGCGGGGCCGGCGGCCGCGGGAGGGCGGCGCGGCCGGCGGCCCGGUCGCUCCCGCUGCAGCUGCUGGCCGGCGCGCUGAGCCCUGACAGCUGGGCCUCGGCCGCUCUCGUCUCGGCCGCGUCCCGGGCCGCCGCUGGUGACCACUCGCCGCGCCGCCGGAGGCUUCACCCGCGCCCUCCCUCAGGACGCGCCCGCGGAGCUCGGGGGCCUUCGCCCCGGACCCGGAGGCCGCGCUGCGCGGGCCGGCGGCGAGGCCGGAAGAUGGCCUGGGUGCUCAAGAUGGACGAGGUGAUCGAGUCCGGGCUGGUGCACGACUUCGACUCCAGCCUGUCGGGCAUCGGGCAGGAGCUGGGCGCCGGCGCCUACAGCAUGAGUGAUGUGUUAGCCUUGCCCAUUUUCAAGCAAGAAGAUUCCAGCCUUUCCUUGGAUGGUGAGGCCAAGCACCCCCCCUUUCAGUAUGUGAUGUGUGCUGCAACUUCGCCAGCCGUGAAACUGCAUGACGAGACUCUCACUUACUUGAACCAAGGCCAAUCUUAUGAAAUUCGGAUGCUGGAUAAUCGCAAAAUGGGAGAUAUGCCUGAGAUCAGUGGAAAAUUAGUAAAGAGCAUCAUAAGGGUGGUGUUCCAUGACAGACGGCUACAGUAUACAGAGCAUCAGCAGCUUGAAGGCUGGAAGUGGAACCGCCCAGGAGACAGACUUCUCGAUUUAGAUAUUCCAAUGUCUGUGGGAAUAAUUGACACAAGGACAAAUCCAAGCCAGUUAAAUGCAGUUGAAUUUCUGUGGGACCCUGCAAAGCGCACAUCUGCCUUCAUUCAGGUACAUUGCAUCAGCACAGAAUUCACCCCACGUAAGCAUGGAGGUGAAAAGGGAGUGCCUUUUAGGAUCCAGGUUGACACCUUUAAACAGAAUGAAAAUGGAGAAUACACAGAUCAUCUUCACUCAGCUAGCUGCCAAAUCAAAGUCUUUAAGCCUAAAGGUGCAGAUAGGAAACAAAAAACUGACCGAGAAAAGAUGGAAAAGAGAACAGCUCAUGAAAAAGAAAAGUAUCAGCCAUCUUACGACACCACCAUCCUCACAGAGAUGAGGCUUGAGCCUAUAAUUGAAGAUGCAGUUGAACAUGAGCAGAAAAAGUCCAGCAAGCGGACUUUGCCAGCAGACUACGGUGAUUCUCUGGCAAAGCGAGGCAGUUGUUCUCCGUGGCCCGACACCCCCACAGCCUAUGUGAAUAACAGCCCUUCCCCAGCGCCCACUUUCACCUCCUCACAGCAGAGCACGUGCAGUAUCCCAGACAGCAAUUCUUCAUCCCCAAAUCACCAGGGAGAUGGAGUUGCACAGGCAUCUGGGGAACAAAUUCAGCCUUCAGCUACAACCCAGGAAACACAGCAGUGGCUGCUUAAAAACAGGUUUUCUUCCUAUACAAGACUGUUCUCUAAUUUUUCAGGUGCCGACUUAUUAAAGCUGACAAAGGAGGAUUUAGUUCAGAUUUGUGGUGCAGCCGAUGGAAUUCGGCUCUAUAAUUCCCUGAAGUCAAGGUCGGUUAGGCCCCGAUUAACCAUCUAUGUCUGCCAGGAGCAGCCGAAUAGCACUGUGCUGCAAGGGCAGCCACAAGCUGCAGGCAGUGGAGGCGAGAAUGGCAGUGGGACGCCCUGCGUUUAUCAUGCAAUCUACUUGGAAGAAAUGGUUGCCUCAGAAGUUGCUCGAAAACUUGCCUCGGUGUUUAAUAUUCCUUUCCACCAAAUUAACCAGGUUUAUAGACAGGGCCCUACUGGUAUCCACAUUCUUGUUAGUGACCAGGUAAAUCAAACAGGCAGUAGUCACUCUUCCUUUCACAGUGGCACUCAUACACAGUGUUGGAGCUGUAAGAAAUGCUGCCAACUUCUUUUGCAAGUAUUGAUAGUCAUUUUUAAAGAGGUGGGAUCAAAAUGUGUAACCAGGAAUUAAAGCAUCUAAGUAAAGAAGGGAUAUCAGGGAAAGCAGACCAAGCUUUCCCUGAUGUUUUUGAGCUCAGAUAUUUUCUGGGGGCAGUCUUUGGUCCUUCGGUGAGGUAAGGCAUUAAAUAUGUUCUCCUUUUAGACAUUAUUGGAAGAGCUGUAUUUUAAAAACAUGUAAUAUUACAAGUACAGCAUGCCCCUUGCUCAGGCUAUGCUCUCUGACAAACAGUAAUAAUAGGGAAAGUCAGUAUCCAUAGGACCUGGCACAGCAUGCUUCUCAGUGGCUCACCAGUGACAGGUGUAACCCUUUACCAUCUCAUACUACUGUCAUGAAUUAUUUGGAUCCUAUAAGAAAGAUGGAAGGAUUAUGCUGUAGUACUUUUACCAAAGAUUUAACCAUUUAUAGUUAAGAAGGACUGAUGGGUCUUAUACACUUACACAUCUGCUUUAUCCUUCUAGAUGGUUCAGAACUUUCAAGACGAGAGUUGUUUUUUAUUCUCCACAGUGAAAGCUGAAAAUAAUGAUGGUAUUCACAUAAUUUUGAAGUGAUACCUUAUACAGACUGAACUCUAUUCAGUACCAAAUAAAGUCAUGCUUAAAGUGUGUGAAGACUGAAUCCAAGAAGUCUUGGGAUUGGAUUUUACUGUGAAAUGUUUCAUAUUGAAAACACAAGAUGACCUUCCUAAUGAGCUGUAGGAGAGACAAGUCUCCUCAUUGUCACUGCCACAGCCCAGCCCCCUCAUGAGAGCGAGCACAUCAGUCGACGUGCAACCAGCUCCCGGCCCAUGGUGUGGGCACAGGGGCCAGUGGACAGAGUUCCCAGAAGCAGUCUCUGCUGGCUUUGACACUGUAUGCGGUUUGGAAAUGAAUGUAAAAACUCAACCGUGGGCAUUUACCUUUCUAUGCCAGUUUGGCUUCUGUCGCCUCACCCUUAUGCUGACCUGGGGAGGAGAUAGGGUGUGCUCUCUUUGGGGAGCUAUGCUAUGCUGACACAGCAGCAUUGGUCAGGUAAGAGGCUGAGCACCCUGUCAGAAGCGAUCCAUCAUGUCUGAAGGUGUACGUCUGAGGACAUCAUGCCAAACCAGGGAAGAGCCAAGCAGAGAAGAUGAGCAAAACUUUCAGCAGUACCUUGGUGUGAGGUCAGUGUAAGCCCUGAUAGGCACAAAGACGUGGGUGUUUGGCUUUUGCUUCCAUUUUUAGCUUUUUAGUUCUGGAUUUCACCUUUUGAAACCUCCUUGCCUUUUAAACUCAUGUGGUUUCCUUCUCUUGUCUCCCCUGUUCUCCAUUCCCCCCACACUUAAGCCUCCCAAGUAGCUGGGACUCCAGGUGCACAACUCACUUGUUUUGUGUUUGGCUCUGUUCUUAAAUGUGUUUAAAGUAUUAUUGUUGGUAGCUUCUGACUUGGUGUUAAAGGGAUCUUUGUUUUGGAUGAGACGAAAGUACCCAAGGAAACACUAGAUGUCAUAACAAGACACUAAAAUGUACCAUAACCCCCACUUCUCCCCUCACAUGCUGAGUUUCAGUACAAUCAUGGAUUACACUCUGGUGAUUAGUUCAGGGCUAUUAAGGUGUUUUACCUCUUUGCUGCUGUGUCUGUAACAGGUGUGCCUCUUUAUAGGAUCACAUGUGCUUGCACACCACUCUCAAAGGGAUUCUUCGGCUUUUCCCUUCCUCCCCAGAAUUCAUCAGCAAACAUUUUAGCAGGUCUGAGUUUUAAAAACCCUUUGUCUGUUUUAAUUAUGUAGUAUCUCUGCCCAUUUGCUCAGUUGCUGGCUGUGAAUGUCGGUCUGACCCUUGUUCAGGUGGGUAGGAAUGACUACUUCAGUGGGUAAAGGCUUUAACGUCUUGAAUUUUAUUCAUAUUGGGGGCUAAUUAUUUGUCACAAACUCUAAACUCUGUCUCCAUAUUUUCAUCUUGGGCUUGGCAGUGCUGUAGCUCUGCAGGCCCUUUAGAGGAGGGGAGUGUUCCUAUCUGUCCUUCCCUUUGCUUUUGUGUGACCACAUGCUUUCUGUACCAGUCACUUAUUUGGGAAAGAAGUGAAUUUAUCUCCUGAUUAUUUCUAGAGUUUUGCUUGUCUGUUAGCUUUCUUUUUUGGAUCUCAUGAUUUAUGGAACAAUAAAUGUCAUUUAAUGCUGUG